rnacentral:lncRNA from 1 species
AUAUGAAAUGUCAUCACUAGGUAAACCCAGCAACACAGCACAAGAGAGAUAAUAAUAGCAACUAAUUAUCAAUUUCCUGCGAUGGAUGCUUAAAGAGCAAUUACAUAAGAGCAACCCAUAAAAGUCCUCAGAGGAUAGCGUUCCUGGGCAAAGGCAGAACAGCCUGGACUGGAGGCUUAGAAGAGACACCUGAAGGAAACCAUCAUCCCAGCCACAAGGAUUUCAGCCCUGACCAUCAUAGGUCUGCUAAACUUUGGACAGCUUCUGGCAAUAGAGCAUUAGAGAUGCCAGAUAAGACCAAGAUCAGCAGCUCAGGUCUCCACAGCGGAAUCCCCAAAUGCCCUUUGGCUAAUGAAAACUAGCCAAUGGCCAUUGGGUUUUAAGCUACUUCUUUGUGGAGUGGCAAGUUAACAAAGUGAUACCUAGUACUAAAUACCUCUUUGGGAGGCAAUUUCUC